rnacentral:rRNA from 1 species
CGGCAGACGGGUGAGUAAUGCAUGGGAAUCUACCCAGCUCUACGGAAUAACUCAGGGAAACUUGAACUAAUACCGUAUGCGCCCUUCGGGGGAAAGAUUUAUCGGAGUUGGAUGAGCCCAUGUCUGAUUAGCUAGUUGGUGGGGUAAAGGCCUACCAAGGCGACGAUCAGUAGCUGGUCUGAGAGGAUGAUCAGCCACACUGGGACUGAGACACGGCCCAGACUCCUACGGGAGGCAGCAGUGGGGAAUAUUGGACAAUGGGCGAAAGCCUGAUCCAGCCAUGCCGCGUGAGUGAUGAAGGCCCUAGGGUUGUAAAGCUCUUUCACCGGUGAAGAUAAUGACGGUAACCGGAGAAGAAGCCCCGGCUAACUUCGUGCCAGCAGCCGCGGUAAUACGAAGGGGGCUAGCGUUGUUCGGAAUUACUGGGCGUAAAGCGCGCGUAGGCGGAUCGGUCAGUUAGGGGUGAAAUCCCGGGGCUCAACCCCGGAACUGCCUCUAAUACUGCCGAUCUAGAGUUCGAGAGAGGUGAGUGGAAUUCCGAGUGUAGAGGUGAAAUUCGUAGAUAUUCGGAGGAACACCAGUGGCGAAGGCGGCUCACU